CAAGGCCAGAGACACCCAAAUUAAGAUUGUGGGUUCUGAGGAGUGUGGAAAGCACUGAGACCUAAAGAUGAGUGAGCUUGACCAGCUGCGACAGGAGGCCGAGCAACUGAAGAACCAAAUUAGAGAUGCUCGAAAAGCAUGUGCAGAGGCAACUCUCUCUCUCAGAUUACAUACAACAUUGACCCAGUAGGAAGAAUCCAGAUGUGCACCAGGUGAACGCUGAGGGGGCACCUGGCCAAGAUUUAUGCCAUGCACUGGGGCACAGACUCCAGGCUCCUUGUCAGUGCUUCUCAGGAUGGGAAACUCAUCAUCUGGGACAGCUACACCACAAACAAGGUUCAUUCCAUCCCUCUGUACUCCUUCUGGGUCAUGACCUGUGAAUACGCUCCUUCUGGGAAUUACUUGGCCUGUGAUGGCCUGGAUAAUAUCUGUUCCACUUACAGUCUGAAAACUGGUGAAGGGAAUGUGCAUGUGAGUCAUGAGCUAGCAGGACAUACAGGUUAUCUAUCCUGCUUCCAGUUCCUGGAUGACAAUCAGAUCGUCACCAGCUCUGCAGACACCACGUGUGCCUGUGGGGCAUUGAAACGGGCCAGCAGACAACCACCGUUUACUGGACACACUGGAGAUGUCAUGAGUCUGUCUCUGGCUCCCAACACCAGACUGUUUGUUUCUGGUGCUUGUGAUGCUUCAGCCAAGCUCUGGGAUGUCCCAAAAGGGAUGUGCCGGCAGACCUUCACAGGCCACGAGUCUGACAUCAAUGGCAUCUGUUUCUUUCCCAAAAACAAUGCCUUUGCCACUGGCUCAGAUGAUGCCACCUGCAGGCUGUUUGAUCUCCGUGCAGACCAGGAGCUCAUGACUUACUCCCAUGACAACAUAAUCUGCAGGAUCACCUCUGUCUCCUUCUCCAAGAGUGGAUGCCUCCUCCUCACUGGGUACCACAACUUCAACUGCAACUUCUGGGAUGCACUCAAAGCUGACCGGGCAGAUGUCUUAGCUGGACACAACAACUGCUCAGCUGCUUGGGGGUGACUGAUGAUGGCAUGGUUGUGGCAACAGGAUCCUGGGACAGCUUCCUCAAGAUCUGGAACUAA